rnacentral:rRNA from 2 species
GGGGGGGCAUGCUAUACAUGCAGUCGAACGAGUUCUCGUUGAUGAUCGGUGCUUGCACCGAGAUUCAACAUGGAACGAGUGGCGGACGGGUGAGUAACACGUGGGUAACCUGCCCUUAAGUGGGGGAUAACAUUUGGAAACAGAUGCUAAUACCGCAUAGAUCCAAGAACCGCAUGGUUCUUGGCUGAAAGAUGGCGUAAGCUAUCGCUUUUGGAUGGACCCGCGGCGUAUUAGCUAGUUGGUGAGGUAAUGGCUCACCAAGGCGAUGAUACGUAGCCGAACUGAGAGGUUGAUCGGCCACAUUGGGACUGAGACACGGCCCAAACUCCUACGGGAGGCAGCAGUAGGGAAUCUUCCACAAUGGACGCAAGUCUGAUGGAGCAACGCCGCGUGAGUGAAGAAGGCUUUCGGGUCGUAAAACUCUGUUGUUGGAGAAGAAUGGUCGGCAGAGUAACUGUUGUCGGCGUGACGGUAUCCAACCAGAAAGCCACGGCUAACUACGUGCCAGCAGCCGCGGUAAUACGUAGGUGGCAAGCGUUAUCCGGAUUUAUUGGGCGUAAAGCGAGCGCAGGCGGUUUUUUAAGUCUGAUGUGAAAGCCCUCGGCUUAACCGAGGAAGCGCAUCGGAAACUGGGAAACUUGAGUGCAGAAGAGGACAGUGGAACUCCAUGUGUAGCGGUGAAAUGCGUAGAUAUAUGGAAGAACACCAGUGGCGAAGGCGGCUGUCUGGUCUGUAACUGACGCUGAGGCUCGAAAGCAUGGGUAGCGAACAGGAUUAGAUACCCUGGUAGUCCAUGCCGUAAACGAUGAAUGCUAGGUGUUGGAGGGUUUCCGCCCUUCAGUGCCGCAGCUAACGCAUUAAGCAUUCCGCCUGGGGAGUACGACCGCAAGGUUGAAACUCAAAGGAAUUGACGGGGGCCCGCACAAGCGGUGGAGCAUGUGGUUUAAUUCGAAGCAACGCGAAGAACCUUACCAGGUCUUGACAUCUUUUGAUCACCUGAGAGAUCAGGUUUCCCCUUCGGGGGCAAAAUGACAGGUGGUGCAUGGUUGUCGUCAGCUCGUGUCGUGAGAUGUUGGGUUAAGUCCCGCAACGAGCGCAACCCUUAUGACUAGUUGCCAGCAUUUAGUUGGGCACUCUAGUAAGACUGCCGGUGACAAACCGGAGGAAGGUGGGGAUGACGUCAAAUCAUCAUGCCCCUUAUGACCUGGGCUACACACGUGCUACAAUGGAUGGUACAACGAGUUGCGAGACCGCGAGGUCAAGCUAAUCUCUUAAAGCCAUUCUCAGUUCGGACUGUAGGCUGCAACUCGCCUACACGAAGUCGGAAUCGCUAGUAAUCGCGGAUCAGCACGCCGCGGUGAAUACGUUCCCGGGCCUUGUACACACCGCCCGUCACACCAUGAGAGUUUGUAACACCCGAAGCCGGUGGCGUAACCCUUUUAGGGAGCGAGCCGUCUAAGCUGACCAAA